AAUAAAAAAAUAAAAAGAAAAAAAGGAGAAUGAGCGAUGGGGAUGCAGAUGAGGACAACGUAGAACAUAGAGAUGGCAGCGUUGCGAUGCCAAUGCUUAGGCCUGCAAUACGGGCCACAAGUCAUGCUCCACACCUUCAUUCUGAAGUCCUCAUGAGCCCUCUUAGCUUCGUGACCAUGUUCUGCUCCUCUUAUAUUUGAUCAAUUUUAUUAGUUCAUUCUUUGUUAUCUCUCCCCCAAUCUUUCUUCUUCGACUGAGAAAUGGUUGAACAAAGUGGGAUCAAUCUCUGUGAACUUAUUGUUGACAUUAAUAAUGCAUUUGCCGAAGAUCCUAAGUGGGUCUACUCCCUCAUGAUGAGAUUGCUUUUAUUGUGGUGAGCCUUUCUUUGUGGUGUGAGAACCUCAAAAUCCAAAGGCAGAUGAGGAUGAUUGUUAUGUGGUUCAUGAUGAGAUUGCUGGAGAGGCCAA
rnacentral:misc_RNA from 1 species